GUGUCAGCAGCCGCGGUAAUACGUAGGGUGCGAGCGUUAAUCGGAAUUACUGGGCGUAAAGCGUGCGCAGGCGGUUUCGUAAGACAGGUGUGAAAGCCCCGGGCUUAACCUGGGAAUUGCGCUUGUGACUGCGAGGCUGGAGUGCGGCAGAGGGAGGUGGAAUUCCACGUGUAGCAGUGAAAUGCGUAGAGAUGUGGAGGAACACCGAUGGCGAAGGCAGCCUCCUGGGCUAGCACUGACGCUCAUGCACGAAAGCGUGGGGAGCAAACAGGAUUAGAUACCCUUGUAGUCC
rnacentral:rRNA from 1 species